ensembl:lncRNA
CAGCUAUUCUCCUUCAUAUAUGUGUGGUCUAAAGCUGCUUUUUAAUUACAAUAACAGAGAUAAGUAGUUGCAAUCAAGACUGUUUGUAGUACAGCGAUGCAGUUAUAGCUUAACAUCAUGUUGAGUUAUUCAACUCUCGCUGCACAGCAAUGCUUUAUUUUAUCUCUUUGUUUUAUUACCAGAAAACAUCAAUCAUGUCAAAACAAGAAAAGAAGAAAAUAUAGACUUCGAAAGAAACAUUUUAAGGUUGCAAUAAUGAAGACACAAGUUUGAGAAGCUCACAGGAACUGGCCAGUCUCUGAGAAAGGACAUGACGAGAGGACAGCCAGGACUCACAGAAACUGUAACUGGUGGAUCACUCAGAACUUGGUGCCUUCUUGCCUCUUCAGCAUUGAAACGUGGGAAGAUACGUGCCAUGUCUUGCAAACACCAGGUGGUUCAGUGGAGAUAAUCAUAUGAUGAGGAACUGAGGCCUUCAGUUAACAGCCAUGUGAAGGGGUCUUCUUGUAAGCAGAUCCUCCAGCUCCAGUCAAGCCUCCAGAUGAUUGCUGCCGUAGCCAACAUCUUGACUGCAACCUCAUGAGAGACUAGGAGCUGGAGCUACCCAGCUAAACCAAUCCCCAAUUCCUGACCUGAGAGUUAAUAUGCAUUUGUUGUUUCCAGCCCUGGGUUUUGGGGUAAUUUGUUGCACAGUAAUAGAUAACUAAUUCACUGAGACCCUGUCAUAAGAAGGAUAGCUUCUUUGUGGAUUGCAGUGACCUCACUUACCACCAUAGUCCCAGAAAUGGAUGCCUAUGUCAGAACCUAUCUAGUAGUCUUUCUGUGAAUGCAGCAGCUUUACAUCUGAUAUAGGACUUUCUGUCAGGUUAAUUAUAUUACGUAUUUGAAGACACAGAAUAGCCAGACUUGACCCUCAAAAUUACUCUCUAUCUUCUCCGAUACCAGAAUCUGGCUCUUUCCAGAACACUGCCCAUCCAGGCAUUAUUUUAGGUUGCAAUUUAAUUGAUAAAUCCUAGACACUUAAUCCAGUAUAGGGAACUAAUAAUUUCCAAGUGAGAUUUUGCCUUCAAAAAUGCCAAUUCCCCUUGUCCUACCUGCCUACCCAAGAUCAUAAGUCAAUAAUGGGAAGAAACUGAGAGGUAGAGGCUGAGGACAGUGAGGUCUUAUAGGACUAAUGCUUAUUUCUGCUUUAUACCUUUUUCUAUUCUUCUCUAGGCUUUGGCCCUAGACAUAGGGUAAUUUUGGACAGCACAAUCGUGUGCUCUAUCCCAUGAAUUUGAGAUAUAAAUUGAUAGCCAAAAGGAUAGAAAGUGUUUUAAGUCUCUUGAUAGCAUUUGAAAGAGAAAAGACAAAUUUCCCCUUUUCCAUGAAGCUCUCUACAUCACCUGUUGAUGGGGAGGAAAAACUUGCCCAGAAAGAAUGUCCUCAUCAACGCUAAUUUCCAAGAAUGUUUACCCAAAACCGAAAACAUAACUUAUCUAUACUACCUGCCUCACUGUCUUAGGCAGUGGCAAUUGGAGCCUUACCCUCACCAAACUGUCUUAUCUUUCCAGCUUUACAGAAGGAGGCUCUAUAUUCUCCUUACUUCUCUAACUUUACAGAAAGAUGAG